GACCUGAAAUUUUGGAGGAGGGGUCGGGUCGAUUUCCUCAACCACAGUACUUGACUGACGCUUAUUUUAUGGACUCCGAAAAGAUGAACAGCAAAGUCGGCUUCAGUGGAAUUUGAACUUAAAAGUUUUCUGUCCGUGAAUGAAUUUGAGAGAAAAAAGCAAAAUAAAUGAAAAAUAAACUAAAAUAAGUAAAAAUGCAAAAGAAGGAAAAAAAAAUAAAAUAAAGAAAACUUAAAUCCAAAUACAAGGCUAACACAUACCACAAAUAUACAAGAGAUUUUCGUUGAAGAAUUAAAAAUUGUUGAAUUGUAGAAAUGUAAA